rnacentral:rRNA from 1 species
CGAAUGCUGACGUGAGUAACGACAAAACGGGUGAAAAACCCGUUCGCCGAAAGACCAAGGGUUCCAGUCCAACGUUAAUCGGGGCUGGGUGAGUCGACCCCUAAGGCGAGGCCGAAAGGCGUAGUCGCUAUCAGAUCUCAGCAUAGAGUACCCCGGAUUUGCCUAAGAUACAUGCCUACAUCCUUUCACCUGGACAACCAACGCCAGGCUGAUUUAGCCUUCUCCGUCCUCUCAUCGCAUUACACAGAAGUAA